CCUACGGGUGGCAGCAGUGGGGAAUAUUGCACAAUGGGGGCAACCCUGAUGCAGCAACGCCGCGUGAAGGAAGACGGUUUUCUGAUUGUAAACCUGUGUUCUUAGUGAAGAAUAAUGACGGUAGCUAAGGAGCAAGCCACGGCUAACCACGUGUCAGCAGGCGCGGUAAUACGUAGGUGGCAAGCGUUUUCCGGAAUUUCUGGGUUUAAACGGAGUGCAGGCGGGAAGACAAGUCAGGUGUGAAAACUACGGGCUUAACUUUGAGACUGCAGUUGAUACUGGUUGUCUUGAGUGAAGUAGAGGUAGGCGGAAUUACUGGUGUAGCGGUGAAAUGCGUAGAUAUUAGGCGGAACACCGAUUGCGAAGGCAGCCAACCGGGCUUCAACUGACGCUGAGGCACGAAAGUGUGGGGAGCAAACAGGAUUAGAUACCCGGGUAGUC
rnacentral:rRNA from 1 species